GAUGAACGCUAGCGGCAGGCCUAAUACAUGCAAGCCGAACGGCAAGUUGAGUAGCAAUACUUGACCUAGAGUGGCGUAAGGGUGCGUAACACGUAUGCAAUCUACCCGCAACAGGAGGAUAGCUCCCCGAAAGGGGAAUUAACCCUCCAUGGGAUCUUUAGGUGGCAUCACUGGAAGAUUAAACCGCAAGGGGUUGUGGAUGAGCAUGCGCAUGAUUAGAGUUGGCGGGGUAACGGCCCACCAAGACGAUGAUCAUUAGGGGAACUGAGAGGUUGAUCCCCCACA
rnacentral:rRNA from 1 species